rnacentral:rRNA from 1 species
UGUGGGUUUUUGUUAGAUUCACUUGCUAACGGAUACCGUAGUAAUUCUAGAGCUAAUACGUGCAUCAAACCCCGACUUUUGGAAGGGAAGCAUUUAUUAAAUAAAAAGUCGACGCCGGCUCUGGCCCUUUGUUCAAUUAUUCAAGAUUACUCCACCGAACGCACGGGCUCCGUGCCUGGGACCCACCAAUUUAAUUUCUGCCCUAUUUACUUUCGAUGGUAGGAUACUGGCCUACUAUGGUGGGGAAGGGGGAAAGAAAAUUUGGGUUCCAUUCCGGAAAGGGAACCCGAAAAACCGCUACCCCAUCCAAGGAAGGGGGGCGGGGCGCAAAUUACCCCAUCCUGGCCAGGGGAGGUAAUGACAAUAAAUCACAAUGCAA